UGCAGUCGNNCGCGAAAGUCCUUCGGGAUGAGUAAAGUGGCGCACGGGUGAGUAACACGUAGGUGACCUGCCUUUUAGAGGGGAAUAACCAGAAGAAAUUUUGGCUAAUGCCGCAUACGAAGUACGAACUUAAAUAUAGUACUUGAAAGGAUGCCUCUGUAUAUGCAUUCACUAAAAGAUGGGCCUGCGGAACAUUAGCUUGUUGGUGGGGUAAUGGCCUACCAAGGCUACGAUGUUUAUCCGGUCUGAGAGGAUGAUCGGACACACUGGAACUGAGACACGGUCCAGACUCCUACGGGAGGCAGCAGUGGGGAAUAUUGCGCAAUGGGGGAAACCCUGACGCAGCAACGCCGCGUGAGUGAGGAAGGACUUCGGUCUGUAAAGCUCUGUUAAUGUGGAAAAAUGGUAGCUGGUCUAAUAGGCCGGCUAUUUGAUGGUACACAUAGAGGAAGCACCGGCUAACUUCGUGCCAGCAGCCGCGGUAAUACGAAGGGUGCAAGCGUUGUUCGGAUUUAUUGGGCGUAAAGCGCGCGUAGGCGGACCUGCAAGUCAGAUGUGAAAUCUCGGGGCUCAACCUCGAAACUGCGUCUGAAACUACAGGUCUAGAAUCUCGGAGGGGGAAGGGGAAUUUCGCAUGUAGGGGUAAAAUCCGUAGAUAUGCGAAGGAACACCAGAGGCGAAGGCGCCUUCCUAGACGAGUAUUGACGCUGAGGCGCGAAAGCGUGGGGAUCAAACAGGAUUAGAUACCCUGGUAGUCCACGCUGUAAACGAUGAACACUANGUAUUGGANGAUUUGACCCCUUCAGUGCCGUAGCUAACGCGUUAAGUGUUCCGCCUGGGAAGUACGGUCGCAAGACUAAAACUCAAAGGAAUUGACGGGGGCCCGCACAAGCGGNGGAUUAUGUGGNUUUAAUUCGAAGCAACGCGCAGAANCUUACCNNNNCUUGAAAUCCCAUGAAUCCCNUUUAAAC
rnacentral:rRNA from 1 species